GACGAACGCUGGCGGCGUGCUUAACACAUGCAAGUCGAACGGAAAGGCCCUGCUUGCAGGGUACUCGAGUGGCGAACGGGUGAGUAACACGUGGGUGAUCUGCCCUGCACUUCGGGAUAAGCCUGGGAAACUGGGUCUAAUACCGGAUAGGAGCCAUUUUUAGUGUGAUGGUUGGAAAGUUUUUUCGGUGUAGGAUGAGCUCGCGGCCUAUCAGCUUGUUGGUGGGGUAAUGGCCUACCAAGGCGGCGACGGGUAGCCGGCCUGAGAGGGUGGACGGCCACAUUGGGACUGAGAUGCGGCCCAGACUCCUACGGGAGGCAGCAGUGGGGAAUAUUGCACAAUGGGCGCAAGCCUGAUGCAGAGACGCCGCGUGGGGGAUGACGGCCUUAGGGUUGUAAACUCCUUUCGCUAGGGACGAAGCUUUUUGUGACGGUACCUAGAUAAGAAGCACCGGCUAACUACGUG
rnacentral:rRNA from 1 species